CGGAGUGAACGCACCACUGGUGUUCGGGUUGUCAUGCCAAUGGCACUGCCCGGUAGCUAAGUGCGGAAAAGAUAAGUGCUGAAAGCAUCUAAGCACGAAACUUGCCCCGAGAUGAGUUCUCCCUGACUCCUUGAGAGUCCUGAAGGGACGUUGAAGACUACGACGUUGAUAGGCCGGAUGUGUAAGCGCAGCGAUGCGUUGAGCUAACCGGUACUAAUGACCCGUGAGGCUUAACCUUACAACGCCAGAGGCGUUUUG
rnacentral:rRNA from 1 species